rnacentral:lncRNA from 1 species
UGCCUCAUUUGCAAAGAUCGUAUCCCAUACUCUGGGGUUGUCUUUUCACUUUUGUAAAUGGUUUCCUUUGCUGUGCAAAAGCCCUUGAGUUUACUUAGGUCCUACUCAUUUAUUUUUGUUUUUAUUGACCUUAUUCCAGGAGAUGAAGCAGACAAGAUGUUGCUGUGAUUUAGGUCAAAGGGCAAAGAGUGCUCUGCCUCUUUUCCUCUAGGACUUUUAUAGCACCUGGCCUUACAUUUAGGCCUUUCAUACAUUGUGUUUAUUUUUGUAUAUGGUUUUAGUACUCUCAUUUUAAUCUCUUCCAUGUAGGUGUCCAGUUGUCACAGCACCACUUAUUGAAUGGACAAUCUUUAUUCCACUUUCUGUUCUAGCCUCUUUUGUCAUAGAUUAGCUGACCAUAGGUGCUUGGGUUUAUUUCUAGGCUCUCUAUCCCAUUCCAUUGAUCUCUCUCUCUGGUUUGGUGCCAAUAUGAUACAGUUUUGAUAACUGUAGCCUUGUAGUAUACUCAGAAGUCUGGGCACUUGAUUCAUCCAUUUGUUUUUUUUGUUUUUGUUUUUCAACAGGGCUUUUGGUGAUUUGAGGUCUUUUGUGUUUUCAUACACGUUUUUAGAUAUUUUGUUUUAAUUCUGUGAAGAAUGUUCUUGGUAAUUUCAUAAGGAUUGCACUGAAUCUGCAGACUGCCUUGGGUAGUAUCAUCAUUUUGAUCCUAUUGAUGCUUCCAAUCCAAGAGUAUGGUGUCAUCUUCCCAUCUGUUUGUGUCAUCUUGGAGUUAUUUCAUUAGUAUCUUAUAGUUUUCAGAGUAUAGGUCUUUUGUCACUUUAGUUAAGCUUCUUCCUAGGGAUUUUAUGCUUUUCGGUGCAAUGGUACAUGGAAUGGUUUCCCUUCUUUCUCCUUCUCACAUUUCAUUGUUAGUACAUAAAAAUGCAGUCAAUUUCUGUUACUGAACAACCAAUGAACCACAAAGGAAAAUCAACAGAUAUUUAAAGACAAAUGAUAAUGAAGAUACAACAAUCCAAAACCUAUUGAGACAUGGCAAAAGCAGCACUUAAAGGGACGUUUACAGCAAUACAUUAUUAUCUCAGGAAUGAAGAAAAAGCACGUAAACAACCUAACUUUGCACUUAAAACAACUAGAGAAGUAACAACAGACAAAGGCCAAAAUUAGUAGAAGGAAUGAAAUCAUAAAAAUCAGAACAGAGGAGUUCCCAGUGUGGUGCAGCAGAAACAAAUCCAAGUAAGAACCAUGAGGUUAUGGGUUGGGUCCCUGAUCUUGAUCAGUGGGUUAAGGAUCCAAUGUUAUCAUGAGCUGUGGUGUAGGUCACAGAUGCAACUUUCAUCUGGGGUUGCUCUGGCUGUGGCGAAGGCUGGCAGCAACAGCUCCAAUUGGACCCCUAGCAUGGGAUCCUCCAUAUACCAGGGAUGUGGCCCUAAAAAAUACGCCAAAAAAAGAUUACAGCAGAAAUAAAUGAAAUCAAGACAAAGAAAACAACAGAGAUUGAUGAAACCAAAAGGUGGUUCUUUGAAAGGAUCAACAAAAUUGAUAAACCUUUUGCCAGGUUCAUCAAGAAAUGAGAGAGGGUUCAAAGCAAUAAUAUUAGUAAUGUAAAAGAAGUUUUGGAGUUCCCAUCGUGGUGCAGUGGUGAACGAAUCAGACUAGGAACCAUGAGGUUGUUGGUUCGAUCCCUGGCCUUGCUCAGUGGGUUAAGUAUCCAGCAUUGCCAUGAGCUAUGGUGUAGGUUGAAGAUACGGCUCAGAUCCCAUGUUGCUGUGGCUCUGGUGUAGGCUGAUGGCUACAGCUCCGAUUCGACCCCUGGCCUAGGAACCUCCAUAUGUCAUGGGAGUGGACCAAGAAAUGGCAAAAAGACAAAAAAAAAAAGAGUUUCUACUCACACAACAGAAAUAAAUAGGAUGAUAAGCGACUCCUAUGAGCAACAACAUGCACAUAAAAUGAACAAACGGACAGGUUUGUAAGAAAUUCUUACAAAGAUACAACUGACCAAGACUGAACCAGGAAGAAAUAGAAAAGAUGAAGAGACCAACCACAAGCCCUAAAAUUGAAAAUGUGAUCAAAAAUGCUGAAAAAACAAAACUCAGAACUUGAUGGCUACACAGGCAAAUUCUAUCAAAUAUUUAGAGAAGUGAUAAUACCUAUUCUUCUGAAAUUCUUCCCAAAAAAGAGCAGAGGAAGGAACACUCCCAAGGUCAUUCUAUAAGGCCACCAUCACCCUGAUACCCAAACCAGAACAAUGUACCACACAAAAGACAAUUACAAUUCACUAUCACUGAUGACCACAGAUGCAGAGAUCCUCAACAAAAUAAUGGCAAACCACAUCCACAUAUAUUUCAAGGAUUAUACAGCAUGAUUGAGUGUGAUAUAUCAAGGAGUCUUCAAUAGCCACAAGUCAGUAUGAUACACCACAUCAACAAACUGAAAAAGAAACACUGUAUGAGCCUCUCAACACAUGCAGAAAAAAGCUUUUGACAAAAUCCAAUACUCAUUUCUGAUAAAAAUGCUCCAGGAAGUGGGCAUAUAUGGAUCCUAAUGCAACAUAAUAAAAGACACAUAUGACAAAGCCAAGGCGAACAUCACUGUCAAUGGUGAAACACUGAAAGCCUUUCCACUAAGAUCAGGGAGAAGACAAGGUUGUCUACUUUCACUACAGCUGUUCAACAUAGAUUUUGGAUGUCCUACAACAGCAAUCAGAGAAGAAAAAGAAAUACAAGGAAUCCAAAUUGAAAAAGAAGUAAAACUAGCAUGUGAUUCCAAUAGAGUAUGAAAGACUUGGUUGCAUAGUCACAACUUAUGAUCACCAUUUCUGUGGAAUGAAUAUGCCUGGCUGUUCUACUUCUGAAAAGGAGAAAGUGGAUGGCACACAGCAGAGAUGCUAAGAAAUUCCAUCUUGAUAAAGGAGGUAGUGAUACAUAGGAAUUGACUGCCUACAUAUGAGGAAAAAUUAAAAUGAGCUGCCUGAUUCAAACCUGGAAAGCUGGAGGUCGGGACAAGAUGGUGGAGAAGCAGGACAUGGAACACACUUUCUCUGGCAAAUGGAUCAAAAAUACAUCCACAAUGAUCUCCACAGUGAUCACAGAACAUCUAUGGAAUGCUGUCAGAAGAUCUCUGACUUCCAAAUGGGAAAGAAAAUCUCCACAGACCUGGCUAUGAAAAAAGAAAGAGAGAGAGACAGAAAAGACUCACGAUGGGAGUAGAGCCCCCACUGGGGAGAACUGUGAAAGAUGAAAGGUUUCUGCACGCAGGCAGGGCCCCUCACUGGAAGAGACCAGCUGGGACAGAGAAGGAGCUCUGGAGUCUCAGGAGAUUGUAGCAACUGUUUAUAGAGGGCAAACGGGAGAACGACCUGCAGGGAUCCUUGGUACUGCUGCCCAGCAGACCACAGCCAGAUAUGCUGAGCUUCUGAGGUGAGCCAGAGAAGGGUGCUGCGAUUCAGGCUUCUGAGGUCAAAUCCAGAGAGAGGACUGGGGUUGGUUGUGAGGAGACAGCAAGACAAAAACUGUAAUAGACACACACAUAACAAAUCGAAUUCAAAUACAACAUUAAAAAGUCAGCAAAUCACAAGAGAAUGGAACAAGAGAAGAAAAAGAGACCAAUAAAUCCAGAUCCAAAAUAGUUUAUAAAUGGCAAUAACUAUAUACACAUUGAUAUUCUCCUGAACACAAAUGGAUGAAAUGCUCCAAUCAAAAGAUAUAGACUGGCUGAAUGGAUACAAAACCAGACCCAUGUUUUUACCAUCUACAAGAAACCAACUUCAGAUUUAGGGACACAUGCAGACUGAAAAUGAAGGAAUGAAAGAAAACAUUCUAUGCAAAGGAAAACCAAAAGAAAGCAGGAGGAGCAAAAAAGACUCAAAAAUUAAGAAUAUUACGGGGGACUAGAAGGACAUUACCUAAUAAUCAAGGGACAAAUCUAUAUUUGCAACCAACACAGGGGCAUUGCAAUAUAUAAGGUAAAUGUUCACAUUCAUAAAAUGAGAAAUCAAAAAUAACACAAUAGUGGGGGACUUCGGUGCCCUCUUUCAGCAAUGGACAGAUCAUCCAGACAGAAAAAUCAAGAAACACAUGCAUUAAAUGAUACAAAAGACAACAGAGUCUUAGUUUACACCUAUAGAACAUUUCAUCUGAAAGCACAUGAAUGCACUUUCUUCUCAAGUGCCCAGGAGAAAAUGUCCAGGAGAAUUCAUACCUUGGGCUACAAAUAAAGCCGCAGGAAAUUCAAGAAAACUGAAAUCAUAUCAAGCAUUUUAUUUCACCACUACUUGAUGAGACUAGAAAUCAACUGCAAGAGAAAGACUGCAACAAACAAACAAAACAAAACACAACUGAAACAUGUGAAGGCUGAACAAUGGAUCACUGAAGAAACAAAAAAUACCUGGACACAAACGGCAAUGAAGACACAACCUUCCAAAAGCUAUGGGACACAGCAAAAGCAGCUCUAGGAGGGAAGGUUAAGGCAAUACAACCCUACCUCAAGAAACAAGAAAAACACAAAUUUUACAACCUCAUCAUACACUUCAGGCUACUAGGGAAAGAAGAACCCAAAACCCCAAAGUUAGUGAAGGAAAGCAAUCAGAAAGAUCAGAGCAGAAAUCAAGGAGAGAAAGAAAACAGAAGCAAAUAAAUGAAACUGAAAGGUGACUUUUUUGAAAAGAUUAAUAAAAAUUGAUAAACUUGUAACUACAUUCAUCAAGAAAAAAAGGGAGAGGGUUCAAAUCAGUAAAAUCAGAAAUAAAAAGGGAGAAUUUAUGAAGGACAUCACAGAAAUACAAAUGAUCCUAAGAGAUUACUACAGGUCACUAUAUGCGAAUAAAAUGGACAACCUAGAAGAAAAUGGACAAACACUUACUUAGAAAGCCACAGGCUUCUAAGACUGAACCAGGAAGAAAACAGAAAAGAUGAACUGACCAGUCAUGAGUUCUGACAUUGAAAUGACAAGUACUGUAAUUACAAAAAUUACCACACAAAAAAAGGCUAGGACCACAUGGCUUCACAGGCCAAAUCUAUCAGAGGCCAAAUAUUCAGAGAUGUGGUAACACAUAUCCUUCUGAAACUCUUCCCAAAAAAUUGCAGAGGAAGGAACACUCCCAAGCUCAUUCUAUGAGGCCAACAUCAUCUUGAUACCAAAACCAGACAAACAUACCACAAUAAAGAAAAUGACAGACCAGUAUCACAGAUCAGCAGAGAUGCAAAACUCCUCAACACAAUAUUGGCAGACAGAAUCCAAUGAUACAUUUAAAAGAUUAUACAACAAGAGUUCCUGUUGUGGCACAGUGGUUAACGAAUCUGACUAGGAACCAUGAGGUUGUGCGUUCAAUCCCUGGCCUUGCUCAGUGGGUUAAGGAUCUUGUGUUGCCAUGAGCUGUGGUAUAGGUUGCAGACGCAGCUCGGAUCCUGCAUUGCUGUGGCUCUAGUGUAGGCCAGCGGCUACAGCUCCGAUUUGACCCCCUAGCCUGGGAACCUCCAUAUGCUGCUGGAGCGGCCCUAGAAAAGGCAAAAAAACAAAACAAAACAAAACAAAAGAUGUUACAACAUGAUGAAGUGGGGUUCAUCUAUGGUAUGCAAGGAUUCUUCGGUCUGUGCAAUUAAGUAAAUGAUAUAAACCACAUAAACCAAGUGAAGAAUAAUAACUAUGAUCAAGUCAGUAGAUGCUGAAAAAGCUUUUGACAACAUUCAAUACAAAGUUCUGAUAAAAACUCUCCAGAACGUGGGCACAGAGGGAAGUUACCUCUACAUCAGAAAAGACAUAUAUGUGGACCACAUAGCUAACAUAAUUCUCAGCGGUGAAAAGAUGAACACUGACAACUAUGUCUAGAUACUUAAAACACAGCACAAAAAAGGGAGAAAAAAUUAUGUAUAAAUAUAUGUAUAACUGGGUCCCCAUGCUGUACAGUACAAAAAAAAAUAAGUGUGUUGGGGGAAAUAACAAUAAAAAAUAAAUUAAAAAAAAAAGAAAAGAUGAAAACAUUUCCACUAAGAUUGGGAACAUGACAAGGAGGUCCAGUCUCACCCCUGUGACUCAACAUGGUUUUGGAUGUCCUAGUCAUGUCAUUCAGAUGAAAAAAAAAAAAAAAAA